CUCCUCCUAGCUGACUAUUUGGUGGGGAGAAGAAAAUCAUCUUUUAUAGUCAUUUGACUAAGAUUGUCUAUGUUGUGCCCUUGUGCUUGCAUUGAACCAAUUACUGAUCAGUUGUGGUUUACCUGCGAUCCGCUGAAAUCCGAGGUGUUCAGUUAGGUGUCUAGUAAAGUUGCCUUUUACAUUCCUGGACGAACGGAAUCCAAGUACAUCUGGCCAUCCCCUUGACACUACGGUGCAACCCUUUUGGAAAGCCGACUGGAGUCCCUGAAGAACGUCUUUCAGGAUGUCAUCUUUGUCAAUAACAACGUAGACCAGUUUGAGUACGGUGGAGGCACGCCGAGUGAGCACCCUCUCCACCCGGGAAGUCACGGCAGCACACGAGUGAGGCCCCAGCAUGUGGAUGAUGAAGUCACAUUGUAGAGCUCCACCACCAGUAACGGCGACCCUGUCAUCAUCCA